CAGCAGCCGCGGGAAUACGAAGGGUGCAAGCGUUAAUCGGAAUUACUGGGCGUAAAGCGUGCGUAGGCGGUGAGUUAAGUCUGCUGUGAAAUCCCCGGGCUCAACCUGGGAAUGGCAGUGGAUACUGGCUCGCUAGAGUGUGUCAGAGGAUGGUGGAAUUCCCGGUGUAGCGGUGAAAUGCGUAGAGAUCGGGAGGAACAUCAGUGGCGAAGGCGGCCAUCUGGGACAACACUGACGCUGAGGCACGAAAGCGUGGGGAGCAAACAGGAUUAGAUACCCGCGUAGUCCCUGUCUCUUAUAU
rnacentral:rRNA from 1 species